GAAUUGGUGGAGCAGUCACAGCUACAGAUGGGCUAAGCGAAGAGCUCACAGAGGAGGCAUUUACUAACCAGUUACCAGCUGGCUUAAUAACCACAGAUGGUCAACAACAAAAUGUUAUGGUUUACACGACAUCAUAUCAACAGAUUUCUGGUGUUCAACAAAUUCAGUUUUCAUGAUCUGAAGAAAUGGAAUGGAGAGUGUGGAGAAGUGAGAGUCUGUAUGAUUCUGGAGCAGAGACAUCAGAAGGAAAUGACUGGUGAAAAGAUGUCUCUUUGUACAUUAAUAGCUGUAAUGUAGCUUCCUGAUGCUUGACUAAUUGAGGUGUUAAUUCUGACUUGAGAAUCCUUUUCAUGAAUGAUUUUAAAGAAAAAUUUGGAUUUUAAAGGUAUUAAAAUAUUUUUGUUUUGU